rnacentral:rRNA from 1 species
AGAGUUUGAUCCUAGCUCAGGACGAACGCUGGCGGCGCGCCUAACACAUGCAAGUCGAACGAGCGAGAGAGAGCUUGCUUUCUCGAGCGAGUGGCGAACGGGUGAGUAACGCGUGAGGAACCUGCCUCAAAGAGGGGGACAACAGUUGGAAGCGACUGCUAAUACCGCAUAAGCCCACGGGUCGGCAUCGACCAGAGGGAAAAGGAGUAAUCCGCUUUGAGAUGGCCUCGCGUCCGAUUAGCUAGUUGGUGAGGUAAUGGCCCACAAGGCAACGAUCGGUAGCCGGACUGAGAGGUUGAACGGCCACAUUGGGACUGAGACACGGCCCAGACUCCUACGGGAGGCA